UACGGAGGGUGCAAGCGUUGUCCGGAUUUAUUGGGUUUAAAGGGUGCGUAGGCGGAUUGUUAAGUCGGGGGUGAAAUCCUGGAGCUCAACUCCAGAACUGCCUUCGAUACUGGCGAUCUCGAGUUCGGGAGAGGUGAGUGGAACUGCGAGUGUAGAGGUGAAAUUCGUAGAUAUUCGCAAGAACACCAGUGGCGAAGGCGGCUCACUGGCCCGAUACUGACGCUGAGGUGCGAAAGCGUGGGGAGCAAACAGG
rnacentral:rRNA from 1 species